rnacentral:rRNA from 1 species
UGGUAAUGCCGGAUGCUCCAGUUGAUCGCAUGGUCUUCUGGGAAAGCUUUCGCGGUAUGGGAUGGGGUCGCGUCCUAUCAGCUUGACGGCGGGGUAACGGCCCACCGUGGCUUCGACGGGUAGCCGGCCUGAGAGGGCGACCGGCCACAUUGGGACUGAGAUACGGCCCAGACUCCUACGGGAGGCAGCAGUGGGGAAUAUUGCACAAUGGGCGCAAGCCUGAUGCAGCGACGCCGCGUGAGGGAUGGAGGCCUUCGGGUUGUAAACCUCUUUUAUCGGGGAGCAAGCGAGAGUGAGUUUACCCGUUGAAUAAGCACCGGCUAACUACGUGCCAGCAGCCGCGGUAAUACGUAGGGUGCAAGCGUUAUCCGGAAUUAUUGGGCGUAAAGGGCUCGUAGGCGGUUCGUCGCGUCCGGUGUGAAAGUCCAUCGCUUAACGGUGGAUCCGCGCCGGGUACGGGCGGGCUUGAGUGCGGUAGGGGAGACUGGAAUUCCCGGUGUAACGGUGGAAUGUG